UUAAAAAGCUCGUAGUUGGAUUUCUGCGGGGGCGGGGCGGCCGACAACAACUCGUUGUUCGAGCUAGCACUUCCCCUGCAUCCUGCCGCGAACCGUGCUACCAUUAGUUUGGUGGCGCUGGGGAUCGGCUCGUUUACUUUGAGAAAAAUAGAGUGUUCAAAGCAGGCCACACGCCUUGAAUAAGUUAGCAUGGAAUAAUGAUAAAGGACUUCGGUUCUAUUUUGUUGGUGUUCGGGACUGAAGUAAUGAUUGAUAGGGACAGUUGGGGCGGUCCGUAUUCCAAAGCGAGAGGUGAAAUUCUUAGACCUUCGGAAGACGAACAGCUGCGAAAGCGUUCCGCAAGGAUGUUCCCUUUGAUCAAGAACGAAAGUUGGGGGAUCGAAGACGAUCAGAUACCGUCGUAGUCUCAACUAUAAACUAUACCAGCUAGGGAUCGGCCAACGUUUACUUACACCGACUUGGUCGGCACCUUAUGAGAAAUCAAAGCAUCUGGGUUCCGGGGGGAAUAU
rnacentral:rRNA from 1 species